GUUCUUUUCGUCUAAUGGUUAGGAUAUUGUCUUUUAAGAUAAAGGUGCGGGUUCAAGGCCCGUAAAGAACU
rnacentral:tRNA from 1 species